AUUGAACGCUGGCGGCAGGCCUAACACAUGCAAGUCGAGCGGAGCGGCGGACGGGUGCGUAAUGCCUAGGUAUCUGCCUGGUAGUGGGGGAUAACGUAAGGAAACGGGCGCUAAUACCGCUUACUAUCAGAUGAGCCUAGGUCGGAUUAGCUAGUGGGUGGGGUAAGGGCCUACCAGGGCGACGAUCCGUAACUGGUCUGAGAGGAUGAUCAGCCACACUGGAACUGAGACACGGUCCAGACUCCUACGGGAGGCAGCAGUGGGGAAUAGUGGACAAUGGGCGAAAGCCUGAUGCAGCCAUGCCGCGUGUGUGAAGAAGGUCUUCGGAUUGUAAAGCACUUUAAGUUGGGAGGCGUUACCAACAGAAGAAGCACCGGCUAACUUCGUGCCAGCAGCCGCGGUAAUAC
rnacentral:rRNA from 1 species